rnacentral:rRNA from 1 species
GACGAACCGUGCGAACGUUAUUCGGAAUCACUGGGCUUAAAGCGCGUGUAGGCGGGCGCGUGCGUCGGACCCUGAAAGCCCCCGGCUCAACCGGGGAAGUGGGGCCGAUACGGCGCGCCUGGAGGGACGUAGGGGGACCUGGAAUUUCCGGUGGAGCGGUGAAAUGCGUUGAGAUCGGAAGGAACGCCCGUGGCGAAAGCGAGGUCCUGGACGUCUGCUGACGCUGAGACGCGAAAGCCAGGGGAGCGAACGGG